GGUGCCAUAUGACGGGUACCUGAAGAAAAAGCCACCGCUAACUACNGUGCCAGCAGCCGCGGUAAUACAUUAGGGUGCAAGCGUUAAUCGGAAUUACUGGGCGUAAAGCGCGCGCAGGCGGUCUCUUUAAGUCUGAUGUGAAAUCCCCGGGCUCAACCUGGGAACUGCAUUUGAAACUGCCCGGCUAGAGUGCGGAAGAGGGGGGUGGAAUUCCCCGUGUAGCAGUGAAAUGCGUAGAUAUGCGGAGGAACACCGAUGGCGAAGGCAACUCCCUGGGCCUGCACUGACGCUCAUGCACGAAAGCGUGGGGAGCAAACAGGAUUAGAUACCCUGGUAGUCCACGCCCUAAACGAUGUCAACUGGUUGUUGGUCGGUUUCUGCAUCUAUAACGUACACUAACACGUGAAGUUCACCCCCUGGGGAGUACCGGCCGCAAGGUUAAACUCUAAAGGAA
rnacentral:rRNA from 1 species